GGGGAUUUAGCUCAGUGGUAGAGCGCUUGCCUAGCAAGCGCAAGGCCCUGGGUUCGGACCCUAGCUCCG
rnacentral:tRNA from 1 species